GGUCUGAGAGUGCGGUAGCUGGUGGUGUCAUCAUUAUUGGUGAAACCGAGCUUACCAAGCAUAGGUGGCACGCAGAGGAAUUCGGGCUACACUGUCAAACGAAACGCAAUUGCCAUGAAGGUCGUCGCUCUCCUGCUUGUGGUCUGCGUCUCCGUGGGCUGGGCGAAGCCUUUCUGCGUCCACGGUAUCUGCUUUCCUACCAGCGAAGCUACUGGGGGUGCCUCGGGCGAUGUCGUCAGUGGUACAAGCAUUGGCCCUCAUGGUGCCACUAAGGUUACGUCCGUCAGCUCCUCUGCAGGGGGAUCUGCCAGAGGACCGUGUGCAUCCAGCUUCAAUACGGGACAUGCCGGAUUAUUUAGCUCACAGGAUAUCUAUGGCAAUAGGGAGAAUGUCGACACUGGUGCCACCUCAAUCCAAAACACCGGCUGCUGAAUGACUCAGUCACAGUCAUCUCGGCAUGCGCCGCAAUGGCACACAUGAAACGCUUGUUACAUCCACGAACGUUGUGAUAUCGGCGUCGGUUGUGACAUGUGAUCGAAGUUUGCAAUACAGGCUUACCCCCGACA